ensembl:lncRNA
GUCAUGGAUAUCAUUAGGAUCUUUGGGAUCGGUGGGGUCAGUGGGGUUAUUCGGGUCAGUGAGGCUGUUGGGGUCAAUAGGAUCAUCAGGAUCAGUGGGGUCAGUGGUGUCAUACGGGGUCAUUGGGGUCAAUGAGGCCAUGUUGGAUCAUUGGGGUCAGUGGGGUCACUGGGUCAUUGGGGUCAGUGGGGUCAGUGGGGUCAAUAGGGUCAUAUGAGGUUAAUGGGGUCAAUGGGGUCAGUGGGGCAAAGGGGUUGUUGGGGUCAUAUGGGAAAUGGACCCAAUUCUUCCCUUGUUCUGACGCAGAAACAACAUUGGAUUCCCACAUAGGCACCCAUGGGGGCAUUCGAUUCCCCUGCAGGUUCCUGCUGGGUUCGGGGCUCCCCUGAUGGGGAACUGCUCAUCUCCUUCUGCGACCGCCCCCCAACGCCACUACUGCCUCCUCUUUGAUAAUGUCUACCCGGAGUGAGAUGAAGGAACAACGGCUCAGACGUUGGUGGGAGCGGUUCAGUACGAAUGUCAAUGAGGGAGAUGGGGAGGGGGAGGACGGACAGCAUUACGGGUUGGGGUGAUGGGGAAGGGAAGAAAGGGAGCAGGAAAGAGGAAAUAGGAGCGGGGAGUCUCCAUAGGUACAAAUUGGGUGAUGGGGAAGGGAAGAAGGGCAGCAGGAAAGAGGAAAUGGGAGCGAGGAGUCUAUAGGUACAGACUGGGGUGAUGGGGAAGGGAGAAAAGGAGCAGGAAAGAGGAAAUGGGAGCGGGGAGUGUCCAUAGGUACAGAUUGGGUGAUGGGGAAGGGAAGAAGGGCAGCAGGAAAGAGGAAAUGGGAGCGGGGAAUCUCCAUAGGUACAGAUUGGGUGAUGGGGAAGGAUGAAAAGGAGCAGGAAAGAUAGGAAAUAGGAGCGAGGAGUGUCCAUAGGUACAGAUUGGGUGAUGGGGAAGGGAAGAAGGGCAGCAGGAAAGAGGAAAUAGGAGUGAGGAGUCUCCAUAGGUACAGAUUGGGUGAUGGGGAAGGGAAAAAGGGCAGCAGGAAAGAUAGGAAAUAGGAGCAAGGAGUCUCUAGAGGUGCAAAUUGGGGUGAUGGGGAAGGAAGAAAAGGAGCAGGAAAGAGGAAAUAGGAGCGGGGAGUCUCCAUAGGUACAGAUUGGGUGAUGGGGAAGGAAAAAAGGGCAGCAGGAAAGAGGAAAUGGGAGCGAGGAGUCUAUAGGUACAGAUUGGGGUGAUGGGGAAGGAAGAAAAGGAGUAGGAAAGAUAGGAAAUAGGAGCGGGGAGUCUAUAGGUACAGAUUGGGUGAUGGGGAAGGGAAGAAGGGCAGCAGGAAAGAUAGGAAAUAGGAGCAAGGAGUCUCCAUAGGUACAAAUUGGGGUGAUGGGGAAGGAAGAAAAGGAGCAGGAAAGAGGAAAUAGGAGCGGGGAGUCUCCAUAGGUACAAAUUGGGUGAUGGGGAAGGAAGAAAA